UCCCAUGUGGUAUAGCGGUCAGGAUUCCUGGCUCUCACCCAGGCGGCCCGGGAUAGACACCCGGCAUGGGAA
rnacentral:tRNA from 13 species